rnacentral:tRNA from 1 species
GGGGGUAUAGCUCAGUUGGUAGAGCACUGCCUUUGCAAGGCAGGAGUCAGCGGUUCGAGUCCGCUUACCUCCA